CCUACGGGAGGCAGCAGUGGGGAAUAUUGGACAAUGGGGGCAACCCUGAUCCAGCCAUGCCGCGUGUGUGAAGAAGGCCCUCGGGUUGUAAAGCACUUUCAGUGAGGAAGAACGCCUGGUGGUUAAUACCCAUCAGGAAAGACAUCACUCACAGAAGAAGCACCGGCUAACUCCGUGCCAGCAGCCGCGGUAAUACGGAGGGUGCGAGCGUUAAUCGGAAUUACUGGGCGUAAAGCGCGCGUAGGUGGCUUGAUAAGCCGGUUGUGAAAGCCCCGGGCUCAACCUGGGAACGGCAUCCGGAACUGUCAAGCUAGAGUGCAGGAGAGGAAGGUAGAAUUCCCGGUGUAGCGGUGAAAUGCGUAGAGAUCGGGAGGAAUACCAGUGGCGAAGGCGGCCUUCUGGACUGACACUGACACUGAGGUGUGAAAGCGUGGGUAGCAAACAGGAUUAGAUACCCGAGUAGUC
rnacentral:rRNA from 1 species